rnacentral:rRNA from 1 species
GACGAACCGUGCGAACGUUGUUCGGAAUCAUUGGGCUUAAAGGGCGCGUAGGCGGGCAAGCAAGUCAGGGGUGAAAGCCCACGGCUCAACCGUGGAAGUGCCUUUGAUACUGCUGGUCUUGAGGGAGGUAGGGGCGUGCGGAACUUCCGGUGGAGCGGUGAAAUGUGUAGAUAUCGGAAGGAACACCGGUGGCGAAAGCGGCGCGCUGGACCUCUACUGACGCUGAGGCGCGAAAGCCAGGGGAGCAAACGGG